AUCUCCCUCGGUCUGGGGCUCCAUGCAAGAUCUCACCUCCCCAGAACUACGUGGCAGGACCUGGUCAAUGACCUGAAGAGAGCUGGGACCACAGUCUCAAAGAAAACCAUUAGUAACACACUACGCCGUCAUGAAUUAAAAUCCUGCAGCGCAUGCAAGGUCUCCCUGCUCAAGUCAGCGCAUGUCCAGGCCCGUCUGAAGUUUGCCACUGACCAUCUGGAUGAUCCAGAGGAGGAAUGGGAGAAGGUCAUGUGGUCUGAUGAAACACAAAUAGAGCUUUUUGGUCUAAACUCCACUCGCCGUAUUUGGAGGAAGAAGAAGGAUGAGUACAACCCCAAGAACACCAUCCCAACCGUGAAGCAUGGAGGUGGAAACAUCAUUCUUUGGGGAUGCUUUUCUGCAAAGGGGACAUGACGACUGCACCGUAUUGAGGGGAGGAUGGAUGGGGCCAUGUAUCGCGAGAUCUUUGCCAACAACCUUCUUCCCUCAGUAAGAGCAUUGACGAUGGGAAACACACAGCCAGGGCAACUAAGGAGUGGCUCCAUAAGAAGCAUCUCAAGGUCCUGGAGUGACCUAGCCAGUCUCCAGACCUGAACCCAAUAGAAAAUCGUUGGAGGGAGCUGAAAGUCCGUAUUGCCCAGCGACAGC